CCUACGGGUGGCAGCAGUGAGGAAUAUUGGUCAAUGGCCGGAAGGCUGAACCAGCCAAGCCGCGUGAAGGACGAAGGUGCCAAGCAUUGUAAACUUCUUUUGUCAAGGGACAAAAUCCGGCUCGAGAGCCUGACCGAGGGUACUUGAAGAAAAAGCAUCGGCUAACUCCGUGCCAGCAGCCGCGGUAAUACGGAGGAUGCGAGCGUUAUCCGGAUUUAUUGGGUUUAAAGGGUGCGUAGGCGGGUUAUCAAGUCAGCGGUAAAAUUGUGGAGCUCAACUCCAUCCAGCCGUUGAAACUGGUGAUCUUGAGUGGGCGAGAAGUAUGCGGAAUGCGUGGUGUAGCGGUGAAAUGCAUAGAUAUCACGCAGAACUCCGAUUGCGAAGGCAGCAUACCGGCGCCCGACUGACGCUGAAGCACGAAAGCGUGGGUAUCGAACAGGAUUAGAUACCCGUGUAGUC
rnacentral:rRNA from 1 species